rnacentral:rRNA from 1 species
GUGGGGAAUAUUCCGCAAUGGACGAAAGUCUGACGGAGCAACGCCGCGUGAGUGAUGAAGGUUUUCGGACUGUAAAGCUCUGUUGUUUAGGACGAAAGUGCCUGUUGCAAAUAGUUACAGGUAUUGACGGUACUGAACGAGGAAGCCACGGCUAACUACGUGCCAGCAGCCGCGGUAAUACGUAGGUGGCAAGCGUUGUCCGGAAUUAUUGGGCGUAAAGAGCAUGUAGGCGGGAAUCUAAGUCUGUUGUGAAAAUGCGGGGCUCAACCCCGUAUUGCGAUGGAAACUGGGUAUCUUGAGUGCAGGAGAGGAAAGGGGAAUUCCCAGUGUAGCGGUGAAAUGCGUAGAUAUUGGGAGGAACACCAGUGGCGAAGGCGCCUUUCUGGACUGUGUCUGACGCUGAGAUGCGAAAGCCAGGGUAGCGAACGGGAUUAGAUACCCCUGUAGUCC